CCUACGGGAUGCAGCAGUGAGGAAUAUUGGUCAAUGGGCGCAAGCCUGACCCAGCAACGCCGCGUGAAGGAAGAAGGCUUUCGGGUUGUAAACUUCUUUUGUCAGGGACGAAGCAAGUGACGGUACCUGACGAAUAAGCCACGGCUAACUACGUGCCAGCAGCCGCGGUAAUACGUAGGCGGCAAGCGUUAUCCGGAUUUACUGGGUGUAAAGGGCGUGGAGGCGGGACUGCAAGUCAGAUGUGAAAACCACGGGCUCAACCUGUGGCCUGCAUUUGAAACUGUAGUUCUUGAGUACUGGAGAGGCAGACGGAAUUCCUAGUGUAGCGGUAAAAUUCGUAGAUAUUAGGAGGAACACCAGUGGCGAAGGCGAUCUGCUAGACAACAACUGACGCUGAGGCGCGAAAGCGUGGGGAGCAAACAGGAUUAGAUACCCUUGUAGUC
rnacentral:rRNA from 1 species